rnacentral:lncRNA from 1 species
CCUUAUCUAUGAAAAAGAAAAUCAAGUUAAAUAACAAUAAAACAUUAUCAUAAAUUAUUAGAUAAUAACUGAACACACGAUGACAAGUAUUAAGUGUUAAUUUUAAAGGUAUCCAUUAAUUAGUACAUAGCAACGAUGGCAAGUGAACAUGUCUAAAUUGUUUAAACGUUUUGUGUUUAUAUGAUACUUUUAUAUUAGUUAAAUAUUAGUGUGGAUAUGACAGUAAACUUAGCAUCGCAAUCCUACCAAAUCCACAUAUAAUUUUUGAUAGGCAAGAAACCUUAUCAUUAUUAGUCAAUAAAUUAAAACUAUCCAAGUUCAACCAAAAAAAAUGCACAAGUUCAUCGCCAUUAAGUUAUUGUUUAUUUAUAAACAAAAACUUUUAAAAUAAGUUGUUUACCCUUUCGUAUUCAUCUAACCACUUUUCUUCCUCAACAGCAAAUUUCCAUUUCUUUGUCCUAUCUAGGAUAUCUCUUGUGCUUAGAGCUUGUUCCUUGUCCAGUCUUAUCUAUGUUUUGAUACAAAUGAGACAGAUCAACAUUACCUGUAAAGCCAUCAAAAGUGUUCAAAGAAAAAUUAGAGCCAACAAAUACUACGAACAAACACAACAAUAAUUUUCUAAAGUAUUUAAGUGGAAAAGAUUAAAAAAAUUAAGUGAAAUCUUAUUAUAUGCAUCCACAAAUACUUUUGAAAAAAGAGAGUUCUAAAAAUUAUAAAGGAGAUAAUAAGAUAGGUUUUGUACUACAUUUGAAAUAUAAGCAUGACUACAAUAGAAACACUUUAACUAUAUAAAUUGAUUUUAGCAACAGUGAAACACUCACAAGUUGAAAUGAAACUCAAUGAAGUGGUAUAGGCAAGUAGAAUCAGAAAGCCUGAGUUUUUAAAUAAUUACCUGCCAGUUUUCAUACAACAAAAGGUUGUGUGUGGUGAUAGAUGCCAUAGGUAGUGAAUGGGGUAGUACACUGCUAAACAUUAUCGCUUACUAUUCACUAGCAGAUACCAUAAUGUGGCCUAUACUGUAAGGUCUAAAACAAAAUCAUUAUAGGAAAAGUUUGCAUUUAAUACCUCUAAGAAAGGGGGCAAUGUUAAGUAUUGUAGCUUAAAAGAGGUCAAGAGAAGAAAUACGAAAUUCUCUUACUAUCGCUCUCACCUUAGAAGCUGAACAUUUAUAAAACUGAAACGCAGUGACAAAUUCAGCUACUUAUACUCGACUAGAAGUAUGUUCUGCAAACUCUCCCACCUGCAUAAUAUUAACAGAUUGUAAUAUAUAUAUAUAUAUAUAUAUAUAUAUAUAUAUAUAUAUAUAUAUAUAUAUAUAUAUAUAUAUAUAUAAUGUUUAAAAAAAUAGCCCUUGCAUCAUAAUUAACAUACAUUAAAAAUACAUACCUAUAAAAUAUAAUCCAUAGAGGCUUUUGUCCUAUUCCCCUAUUAAAAACUUGUGCAGGAAAAGCUGUGAAAAAGUGAAAAUUAAUCCCAUUGGCGGAACAGAAGAAACAUGCUUGAACUAGGAUAAGUUCUACAACCAAUUUAUGUGUAUAAACUCUAUACACUACUAGGAAAAAGUUUGACUUAGUAUAGCACAUCAAUUAGAGAAUUUGAUAGUGGGUAAGGCAAUUUUUUACAGUGGGUAAGGCAAUUUUUGACUUAGUAGAACAAAUCAAUAUAAUGUCAUUAUAUAUGCUAAAAAGGAUUGGAGAAUUGGAGUUUCAGCCAAUAAUAAUAACAUUACAGUUAGUUGACAUAUAUGUCAAGCAUUCCUAUGAUAAUUGGAGGAUUUAUUGGUCAAAGUAGUACUUUCUAGCAACCUCUGCUCUCAUAUUCUUGCAGUAAAUUCCUCAAUUAAUGGACGCUGAUAGAUAGUAGCAUAAAAAGAAUUGCUUGUUUUUAUAAUAAAAAAGAAUCUAGCCUAUGUUCUACUCACAUAAGUGUUUUUGAGCAGCCAGAAAGUUUAAAUUUACUAACAAACUUGAUUUAAAAAAAGUAAUAAUAAUAAAAAGUCUUCAACAAUUUACCAACAGUGAAGAUGAAACUGAUUCAACAUGUCAAGCUCUUAGGAGACCUUUCCUGCUUAAAAAUGACCUUCCAGGUCCAUAAGAGUUGUCAAUAUUUCAAGAAAGAAGUAGGAAAAUAGAAUAUGUGAAAAUAUAAUUAACCAACUUGAAUUGUCAAUAUUUUCCUGAAUUAACCAACCUGAAUUAUUGUCAAUAUUUAUUCCAACCCUUAUGUUUUUUUUCAUCUGCAAGUUUCUACCUAUUAAGCCAGAUAGACUCAAGUUUGGAAAUAGAGAAAUAAGAUAUUAAUUAAACCCAUCGCAUAAAGUCUGAGUACCAAAAACUAGACUACAAAGAUGUUGUGUAGAAGAGGAAUGAUGAGAAAAUCCCGUCAGUCACCAAUCACAACCAGAAUUUCAUGAAAAUUUACAAGAUAAUAUGCAAUGGAUAAUUAAAUAGUAACUGAAUUUUUUAACUAAAAAAAAAGGUAAAAAAAUACCUCCUAUCAUAAAGGAUGGUAGCAUGACCAUGGAAAUCUUUAAAAUGAUUAUCAAGUAACACUAUUGAACCAAGACUAAUAUAACAAUCAGGCUUUACAAAUCACCCUUUGCAUACUAUAUUUGAUAAUUUUUUUUAAAUAUGUUCUUACUAAAGUUAAGAGUUAAUUUCCUAUAUAUUAUCUCCAUUAUUCAAGUUCUCAAGUACACAACUUAAAAGAAUAGAGUAAACACACAUAUAUGUUAGUUGCUGGAAUAUUUAUGUAAAUAAAAUGUUUACCUGCAGUUAAUUAAGAAUCCACUAUAGUAUUGAGGAAGUUUUAUUGUAUGUCUGCAUUUGAAACAAAGAAAAGGUGCAUAUUCAAUAAAUAUAUAGCGUUAAUUGUUGGAUGUAGUUUUUAUCCCUAAGACUUUAGUUGAUGUAUAGGUGUAACUUUACCUUCAAAAAGUUUCUAGAAACUGAAUCAAUUCAUUGGGAUUUUAGAUUUAAGUUGCAUUAAAUUAUGGAGAAAUACCUUUCUCUUACUCUUACUUCAGAUUGAAUACAUAAAAUUCAAAACCCCAAGUGCUUGCUAAUGACUGAAUAAGAAAAGCCAACAAAUUCAUGAAUAACAACAUCAUCGUCACCUAAUUUUCUUCCAUUUUGAUCUUCAACAUCUUCACCAUCAUAUCUUUGGCCCUUUUACAGGGUAAUUUUUCCCUCCUUUCAUUUCUUCGUUUAUCCAAAACAGAUUGAUAUACGCCCAAAAGAUUUUUCCUUAC